GUGAGUACAGUUUUGUCAUUUUUAAGGCUUCCAUUAGUUCAAGUUCAAGUUUAAUACACCAUGCUGUGGCUUAACAACAAACUGCCAAAGACAGAGGUGUAUUUAUACGUAGAUUAAACCAUGCCUGCAUAUUUCAGCAUUGAUUUACUGCCCUAAGAAUUAAAUAGCAUUUUACAUACUUGCCAUUUAUAGAACAUGGGGAAACUACCAAACGUUACAAGGCAUGACUACAAGGUACCACCAUCCACUGCGUGACUCGAUUAACAUUGGGCGAUUAACUUCUAAAAACAGGGUCUGACUAAUUCACUGAAAAUAAAUGAACCAGAUGGGUUUGUCGGUCACUGAGGAAAACAUUACACAACAGAUGUAAAAUAAUGUUUUGAAAGUUAGCAAUAAGUGUGUACUACAAGCACAGCAUGGUUAAUAUUAUGGGAUGCUCUACUCUGCUAGUCCAGUAAUUACCCAGUCCUUAAAUGUGUGGCAGCCUAGGAAAACAUGUCGAUUGCUCUGUGUAUGAAUUCUGGGAAAUGGACAAGAAAAAAAGGAAUAAAAAUCAGGUUUUGGUUAAAAUUUGUUUGUUCUGAAUAUAUCACACGAUAGGUUUGUGGACACCUGGCCAUCAUAGCCAUAUGUGGUUCUUCUCCAAACUGUUGCCACAAUGUUGGAAGCACACAAUUGUAUAGAAUGUCUUUGUAUGCUGUAGCUUUACAAAUUCCCGUCACUGGAACUGACAGACCCCAAAAUGUUCCAGCAUGACAAUUCCCCGUGCACAAAGCAAGCUCCAUGAAGACACGGUUUGCCAAGGUUGGAGUGGAAGAACUCAUGUGUCCUGCACAGAGCCCUGACUUCAACCCCACUGAACACCUUUUGGUGUGAAAUAAAACACUGAUUGCACUCCUGACCUCCUCACCCGACAACAGUGCCUGACCUCACUAAUGCUCUUAUGGCUGAAUGAACACAAAUCCCCACAGCCACGCUCCAAAAUCUAGUGGAAAGGCUUCCCAGAAGAGUGGAGUGUAUUAUAACAACAAAGAGGGGCAAAAUCUGGAAUUGGAUUUUCACAAGCACAUAUGAGUGUUUAUAGUGUCCAUAGGUGUCCACAAACACUUACCCAUACAGUGUACUUGACACUUCAACCUUAAAAAAACAUAAAUAUAUUAAUCCAAUGUGAGAUGGAAAUGUUUUACUUACCAUCUUGCCUAAGAUCAUGUUAGGUAAGUAGCCAAUUUAACAAAUACCGUGGUAAAAAAAAAAAUCCGUCUGUUUAAACACAUCUAAAACCUUGCUAGCUAAGAAAGAUUUCUCACACAGUGAACAUGCUUAGAUCAAGUUGUUGGAUAGCUGUGUGUCUUGGUGAAAUUGAUAUACAGUGAGCCUAACCAAUUCAGUUUGUAAUCAUAUUUUCAGUUUGUAAUUAAUAUCACUUUCUGGAAAAUCCAGGCUUUUAAAUGCUAGAACGCAGAAUGUAGUUUACAUACAUACAAAAUAGGUCAGGAAGUAACAAAACGCAAACAGAACAAAUGUCAACAAAUGUCAACCAUCUGUUUUCCCAGGCCGUCACACAAUUAUCUUUCAUGCUUAUCUUCCAGGACUCUUUCACCUACCACUUCAAACAUUAACAUUUCAGUCAUCCUUCCCAAGUGUUGUCUUUCAAGCUCUUUGUCAUAAUCAUGUUCAACAUGGUCUCCAGGCCUCUUUUUUCAUGUAAUGAAAUAAAAAUCACAAUUAUAAUUCAGCGUGCUUUUCCAUAGUGGAUUUGUUCCUUGGUCUGAUGUGCCAAAUGGCUUGGGCAGUGGAGGCUUGACGGUUAUGGCUCUGGGUUACUGAUUGGAAGGUCAAGGGUUCAGGCCCCAGCACUGCCUGGCUCUGGGUUACUGAUCAGAAGGACGGGGGUUCAAGCCCCAGCUCUGCCAAGCUGUGACUGUUGGGCCCUUGAGCAAGGCCCUUAACCCUCUCUGCUCCAGGGGUGCUGUAUCAUGGCUGACCCUGUGCUCUGACCCCAACUUCCUGGCAUGGGAAAUUUCCUCAAAUUUGAAUGCAUAUUGGGGAUGUGCUUUAGCUUUGUUGCAUUUUCUUCAAAUAAGGUCAUAAGAGUGCUUACCCAGAUAACCUUUGCAUCUUUUCAUACUACUGAUGUUGUUCCAAUUGUUAUGAAUUUACAAAUUGAAGACCAUGUUGGGAUCAAUACACUACAUGGCCAAAUGUUUGUGGACACCUGACCAUCACACCCAUAUGUGCAUUUUGAGCAUCCCAUUCCAGAUUUAUCCCCCUUUGCUGUUAUAAUAACAUCCAUUCUUCUGGGAAGACUUUGUACUAGAUUUCCCUUGGAUUUGCCAAUU
ensembl:lncRNA